rnacentral:rRNA from 1 species
UACGAAGGGGGCUAGCGUUGUUCGGAUUUACUGGGCGUAAAGCGCACGUAGGCGGAUCGUUAAGUCGGGGGUGAAAUCCUGGGGCUCAACUCCAGAACUGCCUUCGAUACUGGCGAUCUGGAGGCCGGGAGAGGUGAGUGGAACUCCGAGUGUAGAGGUGGAAUUCGUAGAUAUUCGGAGGAACACCAGUGGCGAAGGCGGCGCACUGGCGCGAUUCUGACGCUGAGGUGCGAAAGCGUGGGGAGCAAACAGG